AUUGAACGCUGGCGGCAUGCCUUACACAUGCAAGUCGAACGGUAACGCGGGGCAACCUGGCGACGAGUGGCGAACGGGUGAGUAAUGUAUCGGAACGUGCCCAGUUGUGGGGGAUAACUGCUCGAAAGAGCAGCUAAUACCGCAUACGACCUGAGGGUGAAAGCGGGGGAUCGCAAGACCUCGCGCAAUUGGAGCGGCCGAUAUCAGAUUAGGUAGUUGGUGGGGUAAAGGCUCACCAAGCCAACGAUCUGUAGCUGGUCUGAGAGGACGACCAGCCACACUGGGACUGAGACACGGCCCAGACUCCUACGGGAGGCAGCAGUGGGGAAUUUUGGACAAUGGACGCAAGUCUGAUCCAGCCAUGCCGCGUGCGGGAAGAAGGCCUUCGGGUUGUAAACCGCUUUUGUCAGGGAAGAAACGCUCUGGGUUAAUACCUCGGGGUAAUGACGGUACCUGAAGAAUAAGCACCGGCUAACUACGUGCCAGCCGCCGCCGCAGUAA
rnacentral:rRNA from 1 species